GUCCGGUUAGCAUAAAAGUAAUGUGGCUGAUUUGUAACCAGCUGAAGCAAGUGCGAUACUUGCACUGGACU
rfam:Erysiphe necator strain c c-strain-scaffold_14, whole genome shotgun sequence.